rnacentral:rRNA from 1 species
UACGUAGGGCGCAAGCGUUGUCCGGAAUUAUUGGGCGUAAAGAGCUCGUAGGCGGCUGUGUAAGUCACUUGUGAAAUCCCGGGGCUCAACUCCGGGGCUGCAGGUGAGACUGCAUGGCUAGAGCACGGUAGAGGCAAGUGGAAUUCCCGGUGUAGCGGUGGAAUGCGUAGAUAUCGGGAAGAACACCGGUGGCGAAGGCGGCUUGCUGGGCCGUUGCUGACGCUGAUGCGCGAAAGCGUGGGGAGCAAACAGG